UACGUAGGGUGCAAGCGUUGUCCGGAAUUAUUGGGCGUAAAGAGCUCGUAGGCGGUUUGUUGCGUCGGCUGUGAAAUCCCGAGGCUCAACCUCGGGUCUGCAGUCGAUACGAGCAAACUAGAGUGUUGCAGGGGAGACUGGAUUCCUGGUGUAGCGGUGAAAUGCGCAGAUAUCAGGAGGAACACCGGUGGCGAAGGCGGGUCUCUGGGCAACAACUGACGCUGGAGGAGCGAAAGCGUGGGGAGCGAACAGG
rnacentral:rRNA from 1 species